AACGAACGCUGGCGGCGCGCCUAACACAUGCAAGUCGAACGAGAAUCCGGGGCAACCCGGUAGUAAAGUGGCAAACGGGUGAGGAAUACAUGGGUAACCUACCCUUGAGAAGGGAAUAACCCGCCGAAAGGUGAGCUAAUACCCUAUACGCUAUCUUUUUUUCGAAAAGGAUAGGAAAGCCGGGUCGAGGACCUGGUACUCAAGGAGGGGCUCAUGUCCUAUCAGCCUGUUGGUGGGGUAACGGCCUACCAAGGCUACGACGGGUAGCUGGUCUGAGAGGAUGAUCAGCCACACUGGCACUGAGAUACGGGCCAGACUCCUACGGGAGGCAGCAGUGAGGAAUAUUGCGCAAUGGGCGAAAGCCUGACGCAGCGACGCCGCGUGGGGGAUGAAGGUUUUCGGAUUGUAAACCCCUUUCAUGAGGAAAGAUAAAGUGGGUAACCACUUAGACGGUACCUCAAGAAGAAGCCACGGCUAACUUCGUG
rnacentral:rRNA from 1 species